UACGUAGGGGGCAAGCGUUGUCCGGAUUUAUUGGGCGUAAAGAGCUCGUAGGCGGCUUGUCGCGUCGACUGUGAAAACCCGAGGCUCAACUUCGGGCUUGCAGUCGAUACGGGCAGGCUAGAGUUCGGUAGGGGAGACUGGAAUUCCUGGUGUAGCGGUGAAAUGCGCAGAUAUCAGGAGGAACACCGAUGGCGAAGGCAGGUCUCUGGGCCGAUACUGACGCUGAGGAGCGAAAGCGUGGGGAGCGAACAGG
rnacentral:rRNA from 1 species